rnacentral:rRNA from 1 species
GGGUUGUGAGGUUAAGCGACUAAGCGUACACGGUGGAUGCCCUGGCAGUCAGAGGCGAUGAAGGACGUGCUAAUCUGCGAAAAGCGUCGGUAAGGUGAUAUGAACCGUUAUAACCGGCGAUGUCCGAAUGGGGAAACCCAGUGCAAUUCGUUGCACUAUCGUUAACUGAAUACAUAGGUUAACGAGGCGAACCGGGGGAACUGAAACAUCUAAGUACCCCGAGGAAAAGAAAUCAACCGAGAUUCCCCCAGUAGCGGCGAGCGAACGGGGAGCAGCCCAGAGUCUGAAUCAGCUUGUGUGUUAGUGGAACGGUCUGGAAAGUCCGACGGUACAGGGUGAUAGUCCCGUACACCAAAAUGCACAGGCUGUGAACUCGAAGAGUAGGGCGGGACACGUGGUAUCCUGUCUGAAUAUGGGGGGACCAUCCUCCAAGGCUAAAUACUCCUGACUGACCGAUAGUGAACCAGUACCGUGAGGGAAAGGCGAAAAGAACCCCGGCGAGGGGAGUGAAAAAGAACCUGAAACCGUGUACGUACAAGCAGUGGGAGCACCUUUAUNAGUACCGUGAGGGAAAGGCGAAAAGAACCCCGGCGAGGGGAGUGAAAAAGAACCUGAAACCGUGUACGUACAAGCAGUGGGAGCACCUUCGGGUGUGACUGCGUACCUUUUGUAUAAUGGGUCAGCGACUUAUAUUCUGUAGCAAGGUUAACCGUAUAGGGGAGCCGCAGGGAAACCGAGUCUUAACUGGGCGUUAAGUUGCAGGGUAUAGACCCGAAACCCGGUGAUCUAGCCAUGGGCAGGUUGAAGGUUGGGUAACACUAACUGGAGGACCGAACCGACUAAUGUUGAAAAAUUAGCGGAUGACUUGUGGCUGGGGGUGAAAGGCCAAUCAAACCGGGAGAUAGCUGGUUCUCCCCGAAAGCUAUUUAGGUAGCGCCUCGUGAAUUCAUCUUCGGGGGUAGAGCACUGUUUCGGCUAGGGGGUCAUCCCGACUUACCAACCCGAUGCAAACUACGAAUACCGAAGAAUGUUAUCACGGGAGACACACGGCGGGUGCUAACGUCCGUCGUGAAGAGGGAAACAACCCAGACCGCCAGCUAAGGUCCCAAAGUCAUGGUUAAGUGGGAAACGAUGUGGGAAGGCACAGACAGCCAGGAUGUUGGCUUAGAAGCAGCCAUCAUUUAAAGAAAGCGUAAUAGCUCACUGGUCGAGUCGGCCUGCGCGGAAGAUGUAACGGGGCUAAACCAUGCACCGAAGCUGCGGCAGCGACACGAUGUGUUGUUGGGUAGGGGAGCGUUCUGUAAGCCUGCGAAGGUGGCCUGUGAGGGUUGCUGGAGGUAUCAGAAGUGCGAAUGCUGACAUAAGUAACGAUAAAGCGGGUGAAAAGCCCGCUCGCCGGAAGACCAAGGGUUCCUGUCCAACGUUAAUCGGGGCAGGGUGAGUCGACCCCUAAGGCGAGGCCGAAAGGCGUAGUCGAUGGGAAACAGGUUAAUAUUCCUGUACUUGGUGUUACUGCGAAGGGGGGACGGAGAAGGCUAUGUUAGCCGGGCGACGGUUGUCCCGGUUUAAGCAUGUAGGCUGGUUAUCCAGGCA